CAGUGGAGUAAACAUUACUGCAGUCACUGAAGGGCCUCGGUAUGUUGUUGGAUUGAAGAUCAGAUUGAACUCAUAUGUUCAGCUCUCAGACUCAGACAUGCAGAGUGUGUUGGAGGAGUUCUUCCGACGAUACGGAUUGUCGCCACAGUCCCUGAAGAUUCAAUCUGUCAAGACAUGAGAUGUGGACAGACAGGUUGAAGUAGGAAGGGAGGAUGGAUCUGUUUCAACAAGUCAUUUAAUCUUUUUGUCACAUUUUGAAUUGUUUUCCUUGAAGCAAAUGAAAAAAUACCUGAUGAUUUUUCCAUCUUCCAGUGAAAUAUAGUUGAAUUGUAGUCACCUAUUUGGUGACUUUUUUAAAUGUAAGACAUGGCGUUUCCCAAAUCCAUCUAAUUCUAUACACUAUGAUCUACAUACAUACUAAUCCUUGGAAUGUCACUGCUGAUAAAACUGUGUUCCUUACAAUUUUAUACUUUUUGUUUUGUUUUCCACAAUCAUUUUGGAGCACCAUUCACUUUUUUUCUCAAAAUUUACCAGCUGUGAGUAUCACUUUGGAUUGUGAGACAACAUUUUAAAGUUUCUCUCUAAUCUCCAUUUUAUGUCUGUCUUUGGAAAUUCAGCUUGACUGUAAACAACCAGGCCUCCAGACUAAUGGCAUGGCGUCUUCCAGAGCACAAUAAAAUUAAUAAUGAAUAUCAUGAAAAAUGUUGAUGCCUUCUGGACGGUAAAGAGAAAUAAAUCUACCUAUAAUGUCAAAAAGGCAAUUUCAUAUUUGGGACAAUGAC